AAAAACAAAUUGAGGAUUUCUAAUCCUUUAUUUCUCCAGGGAGAUGUUUUUA
rnacentral:tRNA from 1 species